CUAUGUUCUAUUUUAAGUAACGGCGGCCAUGUUUUUUGACGGAUCAAAAAUCAAAAGCACACACUUUGUGCAGGAUAAUCUAAGGAACAACCAUGCUAAGUUUUAACCAAAUCCAUUCAGUAGUUUCAGAGGAGAAGAUUUUUUAAAGUUAGCAAAUAUGAUGAACAAAUUGUGAAAAAUUGUCAUUAAAGGACAAUAACCCCUUAAGGGGUCAAUUGACAAUUUUGGUCAUAUUAACUUAUUUGUAGAUCUUACUUUGCUGAUCUUUUU
rnacentral:lncRNA from 1 species